rnacentral:piRNA from 1 species
UGAUUGUUGAUUGGCAUGCAUUCCCUC